rnacentral:rRNA from 1 species
GAUGAACGCUGGCGGCGUGCCUAAUACAUGCAAGUCGAGCGAACAGACGAGGAGCUUGCUCCUCUGACGUUAGCGGCGGACGGGUGAGUAACACGUGGAUAACCUACCUAUAAGACUGGGAUAACUUCGGGAAACCGGAGCUAAUACCGGAUAAUAUAUUGAACCGCAUGGUUCAAUAGUGAAAGACGGUUUUGCUGUCACUUAUAGAUGGAUCCGCGCCGCAUUAGCUAGUUGGUAAGGUAACGGCUUACCAAGGCAACGAUGCGUAGCCGACCUGAGCGGGUGAUCGGCCACACGGGAGCUGAGACACGGUCCAGGCUCCUGCGGGAGGCAGCAGUCGGGAAUGUUCCGCAAUGGGCGAAAGCCUGACGGAGCGACGCCGCGUGAGUGAUGAAGGUCUUCGGAUCGUAAAACUCUGUUAUUAGGGAAGAACAAAUGUGUAAGUAACUAUGCACGUCUUGACGGUACCUAAUCAGAAAGCCACGGCUAACUACGUG